GAUGAACGCUGGCGGCGUGCCUAAUACAUGCAAGUCGAGCGAACAGACGAGGAGCUUGCUCCUCUGACGUUAGCGGCGGACGGGUGAGUAACACGUGGAUAACCUACCUAUAAGACUGGGAUAACUUCGGGAAACCGGAGCUAAUACCGGAUAAUAUAUUGAACCGCAUGGUUCAAUAGUGAAAGACGGUUUUGCUGUCACUUAUAGAUGGAUCCGCGCCGCAUUAGCUAGUUGGUAAGGUAACGGCUUACCAAGGCGACGAUGCGUAGCCGACCUGAGAGGGUGAUCGGCCACACGGGAACUGAGACACGGUCCAGACUCCUACGAGAGGCAGCAGUAGGGAAUCUUCCGCAAUGGGCGAAAGCCUGACGGAGCAACGCCGCGUGAGUGAUGAAGGUCUUCGGAUCGUAAAACUCUGUUAUUAGGGAAGAACAAAUGUGUAAGUAACUAUGCACGUCUUGACGGUACCUAAUCAGAAAGCCACGGCUAACUACGUG
rnacentral:rRNA from 1 species